rnacentral:lncRNA from 1 species
GUGACUUGAAUGUCGAUCCGACCGUCCAACCUUCAAAGUAUCUACAAGAACAAAAAAUAACACAAGUAAGCUCAUUGAAGCUUAGUAAGAUCGAAGUACUAAAAUGAUAAAUCUUAUCGAAGUAAGUACAACAAAUCAAAUAAUAUAAUACAACCAUAUGUGUUCCCUGUCAACCACAAUCUCAACGGUGAAUUGUAAAAUUCGAUUCAAAACUCAAAUACAUGAAAAAAAUAAAAAAAAAUCACUAAACAAGUUAACUUACUAAAAUUUACAAUCUGAUAAACGACUUAUGGAUAAGAGCACAUCAAUAUUCCAACCAAAACACACCAGAUGCUCAUAAGAGCAAAUCUAUCCGAAACAUAACAAAUGCUCAUAAGAGCCAAUCCACCUAAUAACACACCAAUGGCUCCGAAGAGCUAGUCCAGC